rnacentral:rRNA from 1 species
GACGAACGCUGGCGGCGUGCUUAACACAUGCAAGUCGAACGGAAAGGCCCUGCUUGCAGGGUACUCGAGUGGCGAACGGGUGAGUAACACGUGGGUGAUCUGCCCUGCACUUCGGGAUAAGCCUGGGAAACUGGGUCUAAUACCGGAUAGGAGCCAUUUUUAGCGUGAUGGUUGGAAAGUUUUUUCGGUGUAGGAUGAGCUCGCGGCCUAUCAGCUUGUUGGUGGGGUAAUGGCCUACCAAGGCGGCGACGGGUAGCCGGCCUGAGAGGGUGGACGGCCACAUUGGGACUGAGAUACGGCCCAGACACCUACGGGAGGCAGCAGUGGGGAAUAUUGCACAAUGGGCGCAAGCCUGAUGCAGCGACGCCGCGUGGGGGAUGACGGCCUUCGGGUUGUAAACUCCUUGCGCUAGGGACGAAGCUUUUUGUGACGGUACCUAGAUAAGAAGCACCGGCUAACUACGUG